UACGUAGGUGGCAAGCGUUGUCCGGAAUUACUGGGCGUAAAGCGCGCGCAGGCGGUUCUUCAAGUCAGUGGUGAAAGCCCGGAGCUCAACUCCGGAACUGCCAUUGAAACUGUAGAACUUGAGGAUGAGAGAGGUGAGUGGAAUUCCCAGUGUAGAGGUGAAAUUCGUAGAUAUUGGGAAGAACACCGGUGGCGAAGGCGGCUCACUGGCUCAUUUCUGACGCUCAGGCGCGACAGCGUGGGGAUCAAACAGG
rnacentral:rRNA from 1 species